GUUUGGAUACUCUAAUAGACAAUAAUGUGAUAUUCUAAUAUACAGUAAUAUGGCUCGGACAUUGUUGCAGUCGGCGGCUACGGUCUGGAUAAAUAACAGACCUCGGCUGCAGCCGGCGCCAGCACCUAGUUUCUCAACUCUGGAAGAGUCGUCCGUUAUAAGCGUUUUAAACCGUUUUCCUUACGGAACGAAGUGUUCUUUCCACGCUAUCGUAACGACGUUCGAUCCUUUAGGGUUCUAUUACCUCGGACCUUCGAGGUUAGGAAAAAGAACGGGGAAUAUACAAUUAUUCGAGAACCGUGAGUCGGAAACUAGAUAUCGCGAAAGACGUAUCUAGCCGCCUGUGGGUACGUAUAAUAUAGUAUACCAACAUCGCCGUAACGUUUCCGCUUAAGUGGCUGUCGGGCUCCGCAGUUUUCUCGUUCCAAUCCAGGUUAGGCCUAUCUCCGACGUACCGCUAGAUCUUGUACGCAAAAAAGAAACACCCGGUUCUCGUUCGUAUAGAUACGAUAGUUCUUUGGAUAGGGAAGUCCGCAGAGGUCGUCAACCCCGCACUAUCUUCCAAUUGGAAUUACACGUUAACCGUUAUUCUCGAGAAGAUAGAAGUCAGUAUAUAUACCUUAUAAAGAACUCUAAAACGUGUAAAAGUAUGGUAGAGUUCCGAAGUAUUGUCGGUCGGCGGCUGCUGUCCUCAGGUAUGGAAGAAAUAGCCAGACUUCGGCUGCGGCCGGCCUGCGCGCCUGGUCUCUGCCGGGGGGGGAGGAGGUGUGAGUGGGUGCUUGUCCCGGCCUCGCCGAGGAGGUUUUUAUCAAAAACCGUCCGUUUCUAUGGUUAUUCGGUGUCACGUAAUGCAUGGAUAUGGUCACGUGACUUUGUAUGCAGGCAUUGACGCCCGAUAAUGCCGGCGGCUCGGCGAACCGGGACGGGCACCUGGUCGUACCUCUUCUGCCUCCGGCGGAGA
rnacentral:lncRNA from 1 species